rnacentral:rRNA from 1 species
UACGUAGGUGGCAAGCGUUGUCCGGAUUUAUUGGGUUUAAAGGGUGCGUAGGCGGUUCUAUAAGUCAGUGGUGAAAUACGGCAGCUCAACUGUCGAGGUGCCAUUGAUACUGUGGAACUUGAGUACAGACGAGGUAGGCGGAAUUGACGGUGUAGCGGUGAAAUGCUUAGAUAUCGUCAAGAACACCGAUAGCGAAGGCAGCUUACUAGACUGUAACUGACGCUGAGGCACGAAAGUGUGGGGAUCAAACAGG